rnacentral:tRNA from 1 species
UGGCGGGAUAGCUCAGCUGGUUAGAGCGCAUGAUUCAUAAUCAUGAGGUCCCCAGUUCAAUCCCUGGGUCCCGCUACAAU